UGGAUAUUCUAUAACUUUUUAUUUGGCCUCUGUCCCAACUUUUUUGGAGUGUGUUGCAGUCAUCAAAAUCUAAAUUUGUUCAUAUUCAAAAAAUACAUUUACGUUGGUCAGUGAAAAUUUUGGAAAUCUUUUCUUUGUACUUUUGUCAAUUAAAAAAAAGUUAAAAGAGAAUUGAAAAAGCACAGAUUCUUGAUAUUAUUGAAUUUUACAAAAAUUCCCAACUUUUCUGGAAUUGGGUUUGUAUUAGUCAGGAAGUCGGAAGAAAGUAUUCAAAACUUUUUGUUGUUGUUUUGUUUUACUUUUUUUGACAUUGAUGUGCAAUAUUUUUAUUUGUUGUAAAUGACUGCAUUCCUUAUUUUUAUGCACAGAAAACCUUCCUUUUUGUCUUAAACAUCUGUAUAUGAAAUAAUAUUGCUAAUUAAAUAUGCUUAUAUUGGUAGCAUUUUCUUUUGAACAUUUAUACUUGAAAAACAUUGUGUGAAGAAAUUUUUAAGGUAAUAUAAAUGUUGUGUUGACAUUUAUGGAUGAAUUUGGAUUUGAAGAAUUAAAUUCUGAGAUCUCAUUUAUCUUUUUUUUUUUACCUCAUUAUGAAGUUGAGUCAUUACAGCCUUUAUCAACUAAAUGUUUAAUUCAUGUGUGCUACUUUUUCACUCAAGAACAGAAUGUGUCUUAACAGAACUGUAUUCACUCAGUUUUAGUACAGAGCAUCUCAUCAUGAACUGAUUCGAAACCAGAGACUCUCAGACAGAAUUUUAGUACUAUUUGUGCAAGAACUGACUGGUGUUUGUCCGUCAGCAUGCUUUAGCAGAUGUCCAUUGUUACUUACUAUUAGAGACGGUCUGCAGUCUGGUAAAUAUCACUAUAUAUGUGCUAUAUAUUUUGCACUUAUAUAAAAUACUAUAUAUUUUGCAUCUGAAGAAAAAAACAGCCAGUCUAUCAAAUGAGCAUAAAAUGUCUUACAAAAAGCUUAUUGCUAUGAAUUACUGACAACUUUCUCCCAUUUUACCAUCAAGUGUACUUGAGUGUUGCUUGGAGUUUAUUUUUGAGAGCACACUCAUUUGCAAAGGAAUCUUUUGCCAACAAAUAAAUGAUAAAUGUAGAUUAAAUCACAAUAUUCUGACAUUACUACAGUGUUAAAUCUGUAUUAAUAGUGGAAAUAUUGUGAUAAAACAUACUGCUGUGCAAUGACUGUACUUGAUGGCAUUAUGUCUUUUGGAGACGUUAGCAAACUCCUUGUAAUCGUUCCGAUAGCAAGAAAACGUCUUAUUGCUUGAAAUGUGUAUUUCUCCCCCAAACUACAGUCUGACCUCAUUAUCACGGUGUUCUGUUACUAAUGGAAUCAAAAGUCAUUGACACACAGGAAGGGCCUCAUGUUUCAUUGCUUUUUGCUUUAUGUGAAGCAUGGUCUUUUUGUAUGCUUUGCUAUUUAUUCUUGUAGUGAGUGUGAUGUGUGAUUACAGAUGACUUCAUUAUAAAAUAAAACCAGCUAGACACUUUCAUAUAUUAUAUUAUAUUUAUUUACAUAUAGCAUACUAUAUACAGUAUUUCCAGUGAAUAUAUACCAUGUGUACAAUAAUGAAGGUAAAUUGUGCAAAAGUCUUUUACACCACUAUUUCAUAUUUGCUUUAAAGGAGUAGUUCGCCCAAAAAUGAAAAUUUGCUGAAGAUUUGCUCAACCAGAGGCCAUCCAAGAUGUUAAUGUGUUUGUUUCUUUAUGGGACUAGGUUUAGAGAAAUUUAGCAUUACAUCACUUGCUGACCAGUGGAUCCUCUGCAGUGAAUGGGUGCCGUCAGAAUGAGAGUACAAAAAGCUGAUAAAAACAUCACAAUAAUCUACAGAUAAUGCACAUAAAUUCCAGUCUGUCAAUGAAUGUCUUUUGAAGUAAAAAAAAUUGUUUUUGUAAUCAACAAAUUCACAGUUCAGAAAACGUUCACCCCUGUUGUCAUUAAUUCUAUUAUUAUUUGUUAAGAACUGUUUUGGCUCGUAAACAGUGCUUGAUUUGUGCAUAUUUCUCUCCUGAUUCAGAUGAGAUGUCUGUUUUUCAACAGAGAAAGCAAUAUUAUGGAUAGAGGACUUGAUUGAAGUUAAAAACAUCUUGAUGAAUUGAUUUCUUACAAACACUUCACUUUUCCACUUUUUUCCCCCCCUCACAAAGCCUUUAAUGUUAGAUGUUAAUCGAUGAACUGGGGUCAUGUAGAUUAUUAUCCAUUAGUGUGCAAUUGAUUUCUCCAAAUCUGUUACGAUGAAGAAACAAAAUCAACCACAUACUGGAUGGCCUGAGGGCGAGUACAUUUUCCAGCAAUUUUUCAUUUUUGGGGCCAAAUAAUACUUUAAGGGUCAUCAGAUCAUACAUACACAUACAUUAUCAUUUGCCAUGAUGUAUGUGGUCCAGUGCCACAAUGGAACUAUUUAUUGCAAAAGAUAUUGCACAUUUCUAUACAGAAACAAAAGAGCAACCUAGAUAAAAAUGCUAGGUUAACUCAAUUUACCUUCUGUGUCCCAGACUUCUGCACUAUAGAGUACAGGACAUGCUGUAUCCAAUUCAUAAUAAUGUGCAAGCUUUAAAAAGUGAUGGAUUGAAAUAUUUCAUAUUGGAGGAAAAAAAAAAAAAGUGGUUUAAUGUGAUAUUGAAAUGACACCAGGAAUUAAACGCAGGAUGUGCAGAUAGGACGGGUUCAACAGAUUCCCACCUCAAGACUGUCCAGUGUGUGCUUUGUACUGAUGUAGGAAAGAAACUGGGGUUUGAUUAGUACUUAAUGCACUUGCUCUGAAUGUAAUUACAAUUAUAUGUUUGUCAAUGUCUACAAGUAAAAACACACUUUCUGUACAGCAACAGCAAUGUUUAUUUAUUUGCUAGCUUUUCUGUGAUUGAACUAUUUAGACACAUUCCUUUACCAUAGCAGGAAUGUUUGUAACAGUAUUUACAACAUUAAACAAACUACUGCGA